rnacentral:lncRNA from 1 species
AAGUACAUUUUCUGCUAUGAUGCUGCAAACAGGCACCAGGAUGAGUCAGACCCAUUUAAGAUUGUUGAGCCUCACAGGUUUAGCGAUUUAAUUACGUGUUUUGUGGGAUUUGCAAGCUGCGUGCAAUCUCCCCGCGUGCCUCAGGUCCACAAGUGGCAGUGGCCCUUGUCUCUCUCUGGUUUUGUUUGGUGGUACAUCAGGCCAGUCUCUGGAAGCCCGGAAUUGAGGAUGCAAGCAUGUUCAUGCGCGUGGUGUAGGAUCGACGGGGAAGGAAAUCGCUGGAGACCUUCCGCUCCCUCCUCCACCUGGGGCUGGGCCGUGAAAACAAUAACAGAGUACACCAGUCAUCAUAAGAAGAAAAAUUCACAUUUAAAGUUUGGAAAGCAACAGGACAAAGGUCUGUCUUCAGUGGUGCGUAGACAUGCUCGUGAUUGAAUUGGAAAUAGUUCUCUUUCCUUCUCUCUGACUUCCUAACUGAAAAGCUGCAGCGUGGGGAGAAAGGCUGCUCAGAAGCCUGGAGCCAGAACACGCACCCCGGCUUUCGCAGGGCCGGCUCACUUGGUUAGAAUCAAAGGAAAAGCCUUGUUAUUUGGGAAGCUGGGCGUCCUCACCAAAUUAGGGGAUUUAAUUUGCAGAUAUCUAAGGAGUGCUUUGAAAUGAAAGAUGAACUAAAAUCUGCUCUGAGGCCCGUGAUUUUUCACCAGUGGAGAAGGAUUCUCUUGCUGCUGGACAUACGUGAAAAGCAUCAUCUGAUCUGAAACGCAAGUCCCUGCAAGACAGAGGAGAGACUUUAUAAACAUUUUAUACCAUUCUAUGAAAUCAAUUCGAUUCAGGGCUAGAAUUCAAGAAAUAAUCCAUGGGCAAAUAUAUCUGAUGGUAAACCCAAACGAUUAUAUUGUUACCCUCUUGUACUUUUUUUAAUUUUUUAUUAUUUGAUAUUAUUAUCACAAAAGUCGCUGGAACAGGAUCCAUGAGCUGCUUCUUCACUGCUAGUGUUUUCAGAAGCUGAUGGAUUAUUAAGCUCCAAUUGAAUACUUGAUUUCCAAUGAUUCCAUUAAUUUUUCUGGUUUGUGGUAGGAUUUGAUUUACUUAUUUUGUACUUUAACACACCAAUAAAAAAUAGAUAUUAAGAAAUAGUGAAAUUUGUUGCUUCAAAAUAACCCUUAAAAUUUAGAGUUUAGUGAAAUGAAGCAAUUCAAAUAGAGAAACGAUUAUCCUUCAUUUCCUUAAGGCACAGAAGUUGAGACUAGGUUCGAGAACCUUCAUAUUUUAAAAACUGGAAAAUACUGGCUAAGUGAGGACUGGGCGGCCAUACUCCACACAUGCUCUGUGUGCUCGGAGCGAAGAGGGGAACGCACUGAAUGAGAUGAACUGGAAGGAGGUGCAGCCGUGAAGGAAAUCCUUCUGUUGGGAGAGUUCACCUGUUUAGGAUAAUCCUUCGAAUAGGACGCAACAGUGAUGUGAGGAGAAGCUUUGGAGCUGAUUUAGAUUUAGACAGUCUAUCACAGGCUGUUUGGUUGCAUCCCUUUGGGGCCGGUCUCAUUUUAGGUCUAAAUAUGCAGGAAUGGGGCUCUGGCUUCCAGAAGUUGCAGGCUGCAAAAGGCUGGGGCCACCAUCUUUACAGAUAAUCCAUUAGUUUGAUUCUCUUAGGGGCCAGGAAGAAAACCAAGAACACUCAAUGGACUAUGGGACUCAAAUAAUCCACAGGAGGCGUUUGUAAAGGGGCAAAACUGUGUGUGCCCAGUAAUUCUUGGAGCUCGCAAUAGAGGUGGAGAAGCAGUGAUGGGCCCCACAGCAGCAGGGGCUUGGGAAUGACGGAAAAGAACAAAAUGAUGGAAGGACAGCUGGAAGAAACAGGGAAGCUUCCUUUUAACUGGAUGCUGGGUCUCAGCCUUGAAUAGUUCCUGGCCUUCGGAGGCCUUUUCUCAGGGGGCAUGGCCUGGGGACUCCCUGCUUGCUCUGCUGAGCUUUCAGGGAAGGAGAAAUGGGCAAGGCCAGAGGCGACCAUCAGGUGCUCCGUAGGCACAGAGGCAGAACUCAAGGUUUAGCUUUACCUUAAGAGGGUGACUGCAAAGUGUGCUCCCUGGACCAGGGGCCUCGGCCUCACCUGGGAGCUUGCUAAAAAUGCAAGUUGCUCUCACCCAGACUGAAUCUAAAAUUCUGGGUACUGCCCAGCAAUCUCUGCUCACACUUUCUCCAGAUGAUUCUGGUGCAAGCUAACCUUUCAAAAGUCCUGGGUCCCAUUCCCAGAGGCUGUGAUUAAGUUGGUCUAGGGCUGUGGCCUAGACCUGGGGGUUUUGGAAGCCCACAGGUGAUUCUGUUAUGCAGCCAUGGUUGGCAGGCUGUUCGCGGUGCUGUUCAACAGGUCCUGCCGUGGGAUGGAAAGGGUCUGUAUCUGCACUGGCCAAUGUGGGAGCCAGCCCUGUGGCUACUGAGCACUUGGCCCCUGGCUAGUGCAACUGAGGAGCUGAAUUUUUCAUUUCAUUUACUUUUAAUUAAGUUUAAAUAGCUAAAUGUGGCUAUUGGCUGCCUUAUUGGAUAGCGGAGUUCUAGAACCACAGAUAAAUGUAAUACUGUCCCAUUAGUUGAUUUAAAAAUCCAAUGCCUCUGUAAUCCUAGCACUUUGGGAGGCCAAGGUGGGCUGAUCACGAGGUCAAGAGAUCGAGACCAUUCUUGCCAACAUGGUGAAACCCCGUCUCUACUAAAAAUACAAAAAUUAGCCGGGCAUGGUGGCAGGCACCUGUAAUCCCAGCUACUCGGGAGGCUGAGGCAGGAGAAUCACUUGAACCCAGGAGGCGGAGCUUGCAGUGAGCCAAGAUUGCACCACUGCACUCCAGCCUGGUGACAGACAGAGAUUCUGUCUCAAAAAAACAAUGCCUCACAGAGUUAAAUAUUUAAGUUGAUAAGAAAAAUGGUAGUCGAGUCUUUGAGGAUUAUUUUAAAAUCCACUUUGGUGAUAAAUAGAUAAAAACAGUGUGGUAGGGCCCAGAAGUUCUUCCUGAUUUCUACCUGUUGGAGCUGAAUUCCUCAAUUUUACUUGUAGGAGAACAGCUUCCUGAAGGGCACCUUACCCAGCCAUUCCUGAAGGGCACCUUACCCAGCCAUUCCUGAAGGGCACCUUACCCAGCCAUUCCUGCAUGCAAGUGUGUAUGAGAACGGCAGGGGGCAUUAUAUGAAAAUCCAAUUCCUGGGCUCUAUCCCAGAUGUUCCUAUCCAAUAGGUCUGGGUUGGGGCCCUGGAAACUGCAUUUUUGGCAAACCCCUUACUGAUUUGGAUGCACAAGUUUCAAGGAACAGGCACUAAGGAUCGCUGAUUUAGAAUCUGUUUGUCCAUCCAGGAAAGCCAGAGUCACCACACUUGAGUAAACGGGUUUUGAUGUAGGAAAGGUCUUUAUAAUUCUUUCAUGAAUUCACCAAACUUUAAAAACUGUACUAUUUUUGGCUGGGCUUGGUGGCUCACGCCUGUAAUCUCAGCACUUUGGGGGCCAAGGCGGGUGGAUCAUGAGGUCAGGAGAUCGAGACCAUCAUGGCUAACACAGUGAAAACCUGUCUGUACGAAAAAUAC